CCCCCCGCCCCGUCUGAUGGAGAGGCCGUCUUCUACAACCAGGCGUCAGGCCUGGUUCCAGACCGGUCGCCAGUGGCCAACCCUGAAAGAACAAGAUCCACAGGGACCUCCAUCCAUCCACCCGUCUGUUCCACACCAGUCUGCAUCAGAGGAUGAUGUCUUCUCAGAUGGAUGCUCAGCAGGAAAGAUUGAGAGCUGGCUGCUGGGCUGUGGUUUUGAAGGAGUUCCGACAUGUGAUUGUGGAGGCCAG